UACAGAGACUGCAAGCGUUAUUCGGAUUCACUGGGCGUAAAGGGUGCGCAGGCGGUUGGGUGUGUCAGAUAUGAAAUCCCGAGGCUUAACCUCGGAACUGCGUCUGAAACUACUCGACUAGAGUACUGGAGAGGGUAACGGAAUUCACGGUGUAGCAGUGAAAUGCGUAGAUAUCGUGAGGAACACCAGAGGCGAAGGCGGUUACCUGGACAGUUACUGACGCUCAGGCACGAAAGCAUGGGGGAGCAAAAGGG
rnacentral:rRNA from 1 species